rnacentral:rRNA from 1 species
GCAGUCGAGCGGAACGAGUUAUCUGACCUUCGGGGAACGAUAACGGCGUCGAGCGGCGGACGGGUGAGUAAUGCCUAGGAAAUUGCCCUGAUGUGGGGGAUAACCAUUGGAAACGAUGGCUAAUACCGCAUGAUGCCUACGGGCCAAAGAGGGGGACCUUCGGGCCUCUCGCGUCAGGAUAUGCCUAGGUGGGAUUAGCUAGUUGGUGAGGUAAGGGCUCACCAAGGCGACGAUCCCUAGCUGGUCUGAGAGGAUGAUCAGCCACACUGGAACUGAGACACGGUCCAGACUCCUACGGGAGGCAGCAGUGGGGAAUAUUGCACAAUGGGCGCAAGCCUGAUGCAGCCAUGCCGCGUGUGUGAAGAAGGCCUUCGGGUUGUAAAGCACUUUCAGUCGUGAGGAAGGUAGUGUAGUUAAUAGCUGCAUUAUUUGACGUUAGCGACAGAAGAAGCACCGGCUAACUCCGUGCCAGCAGCCGCGGUAAUACGGAGGGUGCGAGCGUUAAUCGGAAUUACUGGGCGUAAAGCGCAUGCAGGUGGUUUGUUAAGUCAGAUGUGAAAGCCCGGGGCUCACCCUCGGAAUUGCAUUUGAAACUGGCAGACUAGAGUACUGUAGAGGGGGGUAGAAAUUUCAGGUGUAGCGGUGAAAUGCGUAGAGAUCUGAAGGUAUACCGGGUGGCGUAGGGCGGCCCCCCCUGGUACAGAUACUGACGACUCAGAUGCGGAAAGCGGUGGGGGAGCAUACCAGGAUUUAGAUACCCUUGAUAGUUCCACGCCAUAAACG